rnacentral:rRNA from 1 species
AUUGAACGCUGGCGGCAUGCCUAACACAUGCAAGUCGAGCGGAGCGGCGGACGGGUGAGUAAUGCCUAGGAAUCUGCCUGGUAGUGGGGGAUAACGUACGGAAACGGGCGCUAAUACCGCAUACUAUCAGAUGAGCCUAGGGGGGAUUAGCUAGUUGGUGGGUUAAAGGCCUACCAAGGCGAAGAUCCGUAACUGGUCUGAGAGGCUGAUCAGUCAAACUGGAACUGGAAAACGGUCCAGACUCCUACGGGAGGCAUCAGUGGGUAAUAUUGGACAAUGGGCGAAAGCCUGAUCCAGCCAUGCGGCGUGGGUGAAGAAGGUCUUCGGAUUGUAAAGCACUUUAAGUUGGGAGGCGUUACCAACAGAAUAAGCACCGGCUAACUUCGUGCCAGCAGCCGCGGUAAUUC